rnacentral:lncRNA from 1 species
GUUAGUGUGUUCUAGGAGACAAUAUAUCACAUAAAAUAUAUAAUAUAUAAUAAUAUAUCACAUAAGAGCACUGAUAAAAUUUAAAUUUAAAGUGUCUCCUGUCCAUUCCCAAUCUCUACCUCAUCUCAUCUUUCAUAAUUUCUCUUCUUUCUUGUUUUUAACCCUUAUUUUUGUCCUUAAAUAAGAAUAAGUGGGAUAGUCUUCAUAAGUGCUCUGAAAUAGGACACACACACACACUGACACACACACAAUGACUUUAUUCCAAAGGUCUUCUUUGUUCCCUAAAGUUGCUUUGAAUAGGAAUGGAAUAAUUUAUGUAACUCUUAUAAUUCAAACAAAUACUUGAAAGCAUUGUGCUGUGCCAUACAUCUAGAAGGACUUCUUGUCACCGCACCCUUCUUUCAUCAUUGAAAACUAUCACUUCAGUGGCCCGAUAUAAAGGGGACCAGCAAAGUCAUGUAAAUAUACAAGGAGUUUGAAAUAUACUUCAGAUAUUUUUUCCUACCUGGGCACUAGCAAAUGCAGCCAUAGCUACCUAGCCUUCUGUGGAGUUUCAAAGCACAGGAGUUAAAAAUACUGUGACAAACAUGUAUCUACCAAGAGAAAGACAUAUGGCAAAUGGUGCCGUGUGCUGUAAAAAAAAAAAAAAAAAAUUAAAGGUAUAUUUAACAAGAGCUCCAUGAUAUUUUCUUGGCUGGAGUAUACACCGUUUGUCAGGAUGAGUGUAUUUGAAUACAAACUGUUUGGAACUGUAUGGAGAUGAUAAAUAAGCAAGCUGAGAUAGAAACAGACAUAUGUACAAAUUCUGUUGCCAUCAGAGGCCAAAUAAAAACAAACCUCAAGACAACAAAAGUGUAGGUUCCUGAGGGGAAUAUUUUGCCUUAUGAGGAAAAGAACACUUGUGGAGGACAUGCCAUUUUGCCAGACAGAUUUAAAAAAAAAUUAUAGUUUGAUAAUUUCAAUAUACUUCUCAGUGUCUAUUUUUUUCCCUUGUAUGCCAAGCCAGGUGCCAAGUUUCAGACCCACUUCCCAUUUUCAUUGCGUCCUAUGUCUAGCAACCUCUUCCAUGGUGCCAGGCGAGGAUGGUGAAUGCAUUCAGACUCAGAAAUGCCUCUCUUACUCAUGAGCUCUCCGUCUUACGACAGCCGUGCCAUCUGCGCCCUAUGACAUCACUUGUCUUGAAAGUUUUCGGGACUCCAUGGUUCUUGGAUGGAAGCAGCCAGAUACGACCGGAGGGGCAGAGAUUACAGGCUAUUAUGUGAACUAUCGUGAGGUGGUUGGUGAGGUACCAGGAAAAUGGAGGGAAGCUAACAUCAAGGCCGUCAGCGAUGCAGCGUACAAGGUAAGCAGGCACGUCCCUCUGUGGCCAGAUUAAAUCAGUCAGCUUUAAGAGGAGUUUGAGUCGUAACAGCUGAGGUGAAUCAACCAGCCAGAGAUCAGAAGGGUGAGCUUACACAGCAGUAAGUCUCAAAGGCUGAAAACCUUCUAGGCCUACAAAGUUACGGUUGCAGUUUUUAGCUACAUCAAGCAUUAUAGCAAUAAUGUCACACGUGUAUGCUAAUACACAUAGGCACUGGUUUCUAGGCAACUAGCCUUGUUGAGUUAGAGCCUAGGCUUCAGUCUUCCUAUUUUCUGCACAGCUCUCUACUCCUUCCUGAAGUGUGUGUAUCCUUGGCCUGCCUGCAUCCUUGCCCACAUUUGGCUAUUAAAACAUUCUCAGUUUGGAUAAUUUGAGUGUCAAAUGAGUUCUAGGGUCUUCUCCUGUACACAAGCUCUGGUUUUAUAUACUCUUCUCUAGUAUGCCCGUUCCUCCCGUACACACACUCUGUUUUUAUCUACUCUUCUCUAGUAUGCCCAUCCAAAGUCUUGCUCAUUUUCCUCAUGGUUUUCCUCCUGACGUGCAGCAACCUUUAGUGUUGUUAACACAGUCGAUGAACACGUGGCUCUUAGCAGAAAGGUCUCCCUUAUGCCAGGGUCACAGAGAUUCUGCACUUGGUUAUGUUCUAGAAGCCUUGCAGAUUUUCAUAUUUCAGUUGCUAAUUCACCUUUGCAAUUUGAAUGUGUUGUGAGCUGAUGGUCAGAAUUGAUUUCCCCUAAUGGAGGCACAGCCGGCCAGAAGCACCUAGUGAGACUCCUCUCUUCCCAUGAUCCCUCUCGCUCAAGUCUAUCCUGGGCUCUGUCCUCUGCAUUGGUCAGUUUGUCCAUCUCUGCAUCAUAGUUUCAUAGCAAGUGACCCACUCUCCCGUUUCCUUGGUCUUUCAGGGUUACUCUUAGCUCUUUGCCCUUGGGUAUAAAUUACGGAAUUAGGUAUCUACUAAGUUCCACCAAAAACAAAAAAACAACCAGCC